CCCAGACACUCGAGAAGAAAGGGACCAAGUCUAUUUGGAGGAGACAAGCGGACAUGAGCCUUAUUGUUUUGAGCUUGUGAGUUGCCUGAAAUUUCUGGAACCGACCCAACAGACCCAUCUCUGAACGUGAUCCUCUGGUGUCUGCAGCUGGUCUCCUGCUGAUGUCGUCGGGAUCAGGAACUUCCAGAAGAAUGUGCCUUUCAAUGACUCUUUCCCCCUUAUUUGUUAUAUUAAUUAAAUAAAUCUCAAUUUA